GCUAAACCUGUCAGGGUUUCUCGACACAUGUACGCUAUUUGUAUUUCUGAUAAUGGUCCAGUUACUGCAAAGAAAUUACUGCAGUUACAGGCAAGAAAUAUGAUUAUUGCAGCUUUAAUUAAAAGGAAAAUCACAACACUUGGCAGGAAAAUCAUGAUACCACAAAAGAGACGUGUGGCACAACAAAUGAAAAAGUAACAAACAUCCGAAUCAAGAGACUAAUCGUCCAACCAAUACGAUUCUAAACACUCGGCCGACGGUAUGCUCACCUGGCUCCAGCUUGAUAACCUUAAUUGCCGCGAGAUCGUUCAUGGACAGUCGUUUAGCCUGCGAAGUGAAAACGAUAUAAUUGUGGCGCUUCUUCGUCGUCGAUUGUCAGGUGCACGGCUAAAGGGAUACCGACCUUGUAGACAUCGCCGUAGGUACCACUGCCAAUUCUUUGGAUGAGCUCGUACUCAUCCUGGGGAUUCCUACGGCUGAUGUCACUGGACAACGCGUUCGCGUUCACGGCCAUCGCGAGCGGCGCGGAAAGGAUCCGACGACGAAGGGAAGAGAAAGACAGAGAGAGAGCGGGAGCGAAGCGUGACACCUAGUGCGUCGGGAUGCGCUCUCAGCCGCCGUGAAUCGAUGCACGCGUGAUCGCAGCUGCGUCCGCACGACGUAGCGGAACCAUCUAGCCCGUCUCGUCGGGAUGUCACACCAGCCGUCGAGACGUCGACGUCGCCAUUGUCCACAAUAGCCCGAACCACUCUGACAUUGGCCGCGAUCCGCGGCCACGACUAAUACGCAGUGGUGGUGUUACGAUAUGCGAUUUGCAGCUGCAGCGAGGAAUCGAUGCAUCGCUCGGCCACGGACCGACUGACAUGUGCAUACUCCGGGAAAUCCGGGGCCCAUAGCACGAACGACAGAAGGAACUCGGCCAAUGGUCGAUCAAUCGCGGUUUCAAAUUUUGAUCGAUCGCACUUUUCGAGAAUUUCAGAAUGACAGUUUUAAGUCACUGACGAGACAACACGAUACACGCCUAUAUCAGAAUGAAUUGAGGAUUACAAUCGAGGACCAAUCAGGUAAUCUAAAUUUUGAUUCCGCUUUAUUCGACUGGUCCAAUUGCAAUCCUCAGUCCACAGUCUAAUACGGACAUAAAGACCGUUGAUUUUACGAAAUUUUGCGUACUUAGAUAAUUUCGCUAUUUAAUAGCCUCCUGUCGGUAAAUUUGUCGAUAAAAAUAUGUAAAAUCAUUGUAGGUGAUAACUAAAAAAAUAUAGAAUAGAAUAGAAUUGAUAAAAAUAUUAAAUAAAAAUAUUAAAUAUA